CCAAUCUAAGCCAGAGAACACCUGUGUUUUAUUUAAAACAUGUAUGAUUUUGUUUCAUUGUUAUUCUUUUCAGGUGUCCUAAUUUUCUUGGGUGAAAUUGUGCCAUUCAAUUUCACAGUCUUGAUUGACUGGUGUAAUGCUAAAUAGACAAAUAAACUUACUUUUAUCCUUACAGGUUAUAGAUUAUGCACAGAUGAUAAAAGGGAAUAUUGACAGGGGAGAAUCGCCUACCUAGGUUGGGUUAGAAGAUGCGAGGUACUUCUGAAAACAUGCCAUCUUUUACCAUCUCUGAUCACUUCCUGUUUAUGGCGAUAAAAAAACUUUAAAUGCAAAUACUUAAAAAACUGGAAAACACUUUUUCUAGUUGAAUAUAUUAGUUAUCAUGUUUCGAAUUCUAUAAUAUUUUUACAAGAACAGGAGUCUAAAAGUGAUUAAGUGCUAUAUCGAGAGUAAUAAAAAUAAAGAUGGAGAUUUACGCUUAUAUUUUCAGCUUUAUUGGGAACAACGACGGGCAUAAAGGCAAAUAUUUCAAAGAUUAUGUCAUAUGUUGAAUUAAGAACUUUCUUCUCAAAGGCUUCCAUAGCUGUUCCCGACGUUUGCUCCAAAAUAUUCCAAACAAGCAUUUUUCGAUUAAGUUUCAGGAAUAGGACCUUGGAGUCGUGGGGGGUGACAGAUUUUUUCAUGGAGUAUGAUAGAUAAGAAGCCUUAAUAACAUAUUGCGAUCCAUAGAUGACUUAGGAUCUUUUUUAUGUUGACGAUAUGAUCUGUCUAAGAAUAUCUUGAAUCUUUUCCUGAUUCAUUUGUGUUCAUGACCACCGUAGCAUUUCCUUUAUCUGCUUUUAAGAUUACGAUGUCUGGAUUAGAUUUUAGAGAUUUUAGAGCAAUGCGUUCAGGCUUUGCAAUAUUAGAUUUAGGAGGUUUUCAUUUUUUAAGGAUUUGAGAUAGCAGUUUGUUUAGGAUAUCUUGACAUUUGAUACAUUCUUGCAUGUAAUCAACUUUUCUAUCAACAAAAAAUCCGAGAGAAAUCUAUAAGCAACCUAACAAUCUUAACCGCGACUCAGGUCUCUACCUGUCCCCAAUAUGGGAAUCAGUCACGCGAGACGGUGUUUAUGCCCCUCACUUACUUCCGCUCGCCUCGGACAAUAUAAAAGUAAGUACAGAGUAAAAUACGAGCCAGUUUCAGUCAAGCUCUGAAGAAGUCAACAAGAUAAUUGCCGAAACAGCAAGUUCGACUAAGCAAAAACCGACGGAGGAGGAAUCCAGAAGUUUUAUAAAAAGUAAAAUAAAGACUUCCAUAAUAAAAAGUGAUAUGAUAUAUAUGAUGUGAUGAAAUGUGCGAGACGCUAGGGGCUUAAAUGCAUUGCAAGACACGGUCCCCUAGCGCCUAUCUUUAAAUGCAUAUCACUAUGAAUUAUGAAUGAAGUGUGACCCGACGGUGAGAACUAACAAACGUCGAAACUGAGUGUCCCUAAAUUAGCAAAGUACCGUAAAUGUUGGUUGCGGCAGAAGGGUUAUUGGUAAAAAUAUAAUUGAAAUUGUUAAAUUAUGAUUUUAUAUCUUAAGAGUGAAGUUAGCAAUGCCUAUUUUGUAUUCUGUGCCUUUUGGUUGUGGUCUGUGUUUUGUUUUGACCAGAAACUAAGAAGAAGAACGAUAGAACUGUGGUGGUGCACAUGUUUGUAAGAUUCAGUUAGAAGAAUUCCGUUUCAUCAUUUCAACAGAAAUAACAUCUUUUGAUUUAAUUCGAUUCGGUCCUAAAAUUUAAAUUUUAGUUUCAGCGCCCUCUAGCGCGUACUGCCUACUAAACUUUAAUGAGAACUAGUUCUUAUUAACCAACCUUCUCUCACCACUUUAUUUUAGCAGAUAGGGCAAAAUGGUUUAAACAGAAAGAAACCAAAUUUCUCUUACAGCUCUUGAAUAGAUUUUGUAAAAAUCUUUAAAUCUCUUACUCCACACAGAAGUUGAGUAGUCUAGCUGCCAUUUUUUCCAGCAGUUGACACGGCUGUUUCCGGAUGGCCACUCUUAUCACCAUCAAAUUAUCUCUAGCAAAAAUCAAGUUUAGAAUUUUUUUAGCACUUUAAUUGCCUUGCAAAUGAAAACUUCCCUAUUGGUUUGGCAACAAACCGUUAUUUAGCGCCCAUCUUAGAAAAGGGCUUUAUGUAUUCCUUACUAUAUUAAAAACUGUAGAAAACAGUAGGGCAGUAAUUAGUCUUCCGUUAUUAGGUAACAUCACUUUUGAAUGCUUCAUCGCGAAUAUCCAGAAAACUGUUACACCAUGUGUUGUACAAAUGAUGUUUAGAAUUAAUCACUGAAUAAAAAUAUCAAGAUCUUUAAGUAUAUGUCACAUCAAAAUAGGCUUAUCCAUCUUCUAGGUACAUAUGCACCUUUCCGAAUUCUUUUUUUUUGCCCGCUGUUUUCAUGAUCAUCUGACCACGCGUUUAAAGAUAGAUACUAUAUAAAGUUAUCAAGUGUUUACACCAAUGACAUUAUGGUUAUUAUACAAAAUUUGGGGUUUUUACAGCAGUUUACGUAUUUAGUAAAUGGACUCAUGGAUACCAAAAUUGCAAGUUGGCACAACCAUCUAGUUUUUUUAUAUAAUUUUUCGUCCCUUGUUACCAAAUAUUCAAUUAUUACUUUUUAGACCGUGUUCCUUCUUUCCGUUCAUUCUGCUAGCAACUUGUGCUUAUUUUUGGUCACUGAUUUUCAAAAAAAUUAUAAUGACUCAUUGACAAGUUUCAAUUAAUUGUUAAACCUAAUUAAUAUUGUCGAUUCUAACAUGAUUAACUGAUAUGUUAGUAUUAAAUUAUAUUUUCCUUUACCCAAUGGAAAAAAACUAAUUCUUUCUUCAAUUUUCUAUUUCGCAAAGAACUAGAUUGGAUUUCUGCCAUAAAUUCCGCCCUCUGGUAGCCUCAGACUGAAGUAUCUAGCUCGAAACUUCUCGCAGUAGUGCAUAGAUGGCGACAGGUAUAUUUGAAGGCGCUUUUAUUAAACUUUUUAAAUAGUAGCAAACUUGUCCAGGUUGCAACCAACGUCAACGUUUCAAUGACAUACAUAAAAUAUGUUUAAAUAAUAUUAACCAGUCGUAAUCGCUUUUAAACCGGAGAUAUAGUGCGGUAUGGAGGUAUUAUUGUGCGACAAACAAAACCCAUAGACGUAGGAACAUAUAUCGGACCGGUUUAUUGGCCGACUCUUCUCUUUUAGAGGUUGAGACGAGUUUUUUUCGUUAAAUACAGUUUGCAGAAACACAACAUGCAAUUUAAAACGAUUUCGUUGUACCAUGACCCGAUUUUGAGUGCACCGCUUAUACUAACCGAACUAAAAACAUCGCGCCAAAAUAUAGCCGAAAAGUCGUAUGCAUUCUUGGAUUUGCAUUUCCGAAGGCCACGGCCUUUGGCUGAAUAAGCUGCGUCUAUGCGGAACUGCGACGGUGCACGAUGUGCGUUUCGUUAAAUUUUAUUUAUCUGGCGGAAUAAUGGGCUUACCCCGACCUAGAUCUUUUUUUCAUUUAGAGUGUCAAAUAAGGCCACUAUGGAUCUCGGAAAGAUUAAGAGAGGGUGGAUCAACUUAAAUAAAAAAUACGUAUACAGCCUGAUAAUAUUCCUUUAAAAAACUGAAGUUAGGGUCUGUUCUAUUGGAAAAAUCUCUGUUUGUCGUAGAGGAAAAAAACUAUAAUUACAUUGCUUUUCUUAAACAGAUGUGAACUUUAAUGCCACCAUGGACUCCAUGUUGGAUUUUCGCAGUUUAGAACAGUCGCGUUAAGUAUACGUUACUAAUUAUCUACCAAAAAAGUUACCAUUGUACUUCCAAAAUCGAAAUAUUACACAAUUACGCAACCUGUUUGAUAAACUCCAUUAACAUAUUCAUCCAAUUACUUAAGUAUUUUAGGAUAUUUUAGCGUGGGGAGUAAAAAAAUUUUAAUUUUCAAAACCUGUGCCAAACGUAUUCAGUGACUAUCCAUAACAGAUUAAUGAAUAUUCACUUGAUGCAGGGUGAAAUAGACGAAAAACGAGCACGUGGCAGCGAACUGUUUCGAUGUGCGGUUUCCAAGGUGAACCUCCGAAGAUUUGUCUUAGUAUUAAGGCUCUUUCAUGUUCUUUGAGCUUAGUUGCUAUUUUUCGUCAGGUCUCAAUGUAUCAAUGUAUUCUGGAAUGCGGUAAACUCCUGGUAUCCCAAACGGAAUUUUGUCUUUGACGGAUCGACAAUGUUGGAAGAUUUUUGGACAAGUCGUAAAUCUGGUUUUAACGUUAUAUUUCUGAUAUGUAUUCGGUGAUGUUUUGAUUGUAAGGAAGGACAACAGUAGCAUGUAAGGAAUGUAAUGUGGAAAUUAUUAGAGAAAAGGCGGAUGUAAAGUGUUUUAAUUCUGGGUUCAGUUACUCCGAUAGUGAGGUGACAAUGCAUUAAGGUUAGGUUUUCUGUAAACAGAAUGACGCGAUGUUAGGUUCGCUUUUCUAUUCCUAAGAAUAUCUAAGAAUGGGAGAUUAUUAUUUUCUAAUUCAAUGGUAAAACGUAUAUUAGGGUGUAUAGCGUUUAAAUGAUUAAGAAGACCCUAAGAAGAGAUUCUUGACAUCAACGUAGCGUUUCCAUAAUUUUUUAUUUCAAAUGACAGGUGUCGACGGCUUUCUUCUCAAAGGCUUCCAAAAUAUAUUUGCUAUCACUGACGUUUGUUUUCAGGAAUAGGGACUUUAGUAAAGAAGGAUUCUAAGUCGAAACUAACCGGAAUAUUGUUUGGAUCGUUUUUAGUUGUUCAAUAAAAUGAAAGGAAUUAAGUACCAAACUAUGUAAGUUUCUUUGAAAAAUUUUCAGGGUAUUUCAUGGUCUAAAAUCUUUUCAAUUCAAGUUCAAUAUAGCGGGCUCUAAAAUUCAGUACUUAAAUUUAAUCGAAUAUGUAAUCUAUCAUCGAGCAUCAAUCACUUUACAUGUGUGUUUUCUAGUCCAGAUUGAUGUUGAAUGCAUGACGUAUUGGAAUAUUUUUCUAAAAAAUUUGUUAUCCAAUUUAAAGGAAAGUUCUGAAGAGCUUUUCAUAGAAUUUAUAUGAGUGAGAAAAUCGAAGGCCCUACUCAACCCAUUAAUAAUAUAAAUAAUAAAAAAAAGAAAUUCCCACGUUAGAAAAUUUGAUAGACCCGGCCCUGCAUAAAACUCCAAUGAAAGUUUGGUCGCAUUUUUUCACCUAGAUUUCACAAUACGUUUAUAUCUCUAGGACAAACAUUUUGUGACAAGGACACGCGUUUUUGUGACAUUUCAAAUUGUACUGUUAUUUUAAAUACGGAGCCUUGAAUCGAAUUGCACGGAACAUUUUUCUUAUGGGAGUGUUUCGACGCAGGCCGGCAGCCUGACACUGGCUGCUUAUAUUUAUAAAACAUAUCGAUUUUUGGGCAAACUCUCUUAUAUCGUAAAAAAGUUGGGCGUUGGUUAGAUACGCGAAUCCGGGCCUACUAUAUUGCCGGGCAAAGAUUGUUUUGCGAAUAGUCUCCUACCCGUUUAGCAUUUGGCAAUAAGUAAUAAAUCAGAUCGUCGCGAUUGGUUAUUAGAAAGUCCCAAAAACGCCAAAUUUUUCAUUUUUUAAUAGAGUUUUUUUUUUAAUUUCGUGAUGAAUUUUAAAAAUGAAAAAAAAAACCUCACUUAUUUGUAUGUAUUUUCCGAACUCACUAGAGAGAAGUUUAUGCACUGAUGAGGUGUGCACAAAGUAUUAUUUUAAAUUAUCAUUUUUGUUAAACUCUAGCCCGAGCUAUUUAGAGAGUUUCCGGCACUUUAGUCACGGGUUGAGAGCGAUCGGAUAUUUUCGGUAGAUUAUAGGACAUUGGACAUUUGUCGCAUGAUGGUCGCAUUACACUGUCGUCGUACUAUUUACUACACUCAGAAAAUUUUUUUUUCAAAUGCAUAAAAAAAUCACCUUGUAAUACAAAUUAUCUCUUCUACAAUCUAGCUAAUUAAAAUAUAAUGUUUUAGGUACUUUUGAAAAUAUUUUGAUACUGAUUUGUUAAUAAAUUAUUAGAUUAGCCACUUUAGGAUAUCAACGAUUUUCUUUUGUCCUUUAUUUAAUAUAUUGCGUAAGUGUUUUAAACGGAAUUAGGUUACGUUAUCUUAUAAUAAGACUACAUUAAUCAAACUUGAACGUUUAUAUUUUAAGGGCGGUCUGAUGUUACUCUUAAAAGAUUUUUUUAACAUUUUAAAAAGAAAAGGAUAACGUUAACGGAAAAAAAGUCUUUCCAUACAAUUAUGUUAACUAUAAUUUGAAUGGCUUCUUUUUCAAUCGAAAGGCAGACAAUAAUUUUGUUUUAAUGAGAAUAAGUAAUAAAAAUUAUCAGGUACGUGUUAGUUUCAGGAUGACAUAGAAUCACAUAGCGUGUUAUUGAUUUAUUAAAAAGCACCAAUGAAGCAAAAUCAUAUUUAAUUUUGAUCAGCGUGAGCGUUUUUUUUACAGCAGUUUUUUUCUUAGUGUACAGCUAACCAUUAUAACCCAUGUGUUUAUAAUUGUGCACAAUGAUCAAUUAACUGUACCCAAGCCGUUUUAACGGACGUUUUUUAUUAAAGAACUUUAUUAGCCACAAGCCACUUUGUGCUUUUCCGAGACUUUUUUUAGUCACAGGUUGGGAGCGAUUGUACGUUUUCGGUAGAUUUACAAUUCUGAUGGUAUCACGUCACACGUCGCUCAGGGAAUGUUUUAGUGCUGUUUUACAGAAAUGUCUCUAAUGUUCGUGGAAACAGUAUAGGAUGCGACAUAUAGAUAAACUUCGCUUUUAUUCGUUAUUCGCCCUUUAGGCACUAGCGAAUCGCAGUGGAGCGAGUGCCUAAAAAUAAACACAAACUUUAAUCCAGCCACAACCGCAUGUUAGGUAAGACUUAAAAAUAGUUAAUAAUAACAACAAAAAAGUAACGUACUAUCAUGAACAUAAACAUUGAGAAAUAAAAAAGCACGUUCACGACAUUGAGACUCAUCGAUAAUUUUUUUAAUGUUUGCAGUAUAAUUUGAUAUAACCAUUCAAAUACAAUUAUAGAUUUUUUUGUUGAAUUGUUUAUGUUUAAUAUUAUUUCAAUUAGAUUUUUUGUGGAAUUUUGAAGCUUCUCUGAUUUUUUAAAAUUAAAAUCGUUGUGAGAGCUACCAGAAAUUCCUCGGCGAGCUACCGGUAGCUCGCGAUCGGCAGGUUGGCGACCGCUGGUUUAGAGCAACGACGUAAAAUAGAGCGGAAUGAUGACGUAUUUUUAAAUGAAUAAAUAUUUAAUAUUAUAUAUUAAAAGACCUAAAUUAAAUUUAAGCAAAUUUUUGCUUAUCGAAAAGUUGUGCAACUACAUAAUUUAAUUGUGAGUAGACAAAAGGUAUAAACCAGAAAUUUUUAACUAGAUUCAAGUACCUGCUUUGGUAUAUAGGUAGCAUUUUAUUAUUGUUAAUUUCCUUUGUUCUGUUCAGUAUUUUCAUAUGAAUUGUAUACAAUCUGUAAAAAACAAUAUUAAUGAAAUUAACUUAUUUUUUCUAGUUCUAGAUUUCAAGUUAAAUUCUAUGAAAUGCGUAUAUAAUUAAUUAAAAUAAAUUAUUUUAUACAAUGUCAGAUAGUUUUAUUCAUUCUAUACAGCGCGUAUUCGGAAGUUCUUAACAAAUAGAAAAAAUUUUAUAUAGUAACCGCCUUCUCCUGAAAAGUCCUGCUUAAAUUAAAUUAAA